AGGAACUACCGAGGCCGACUCUCACUUUCUCCAGCACUUCCGCCUCCCCCAAGAGCACCGCCGGUCGCAACUGCCGGUUCCCGAUCUCAGAUCCGCCUCUGCCGCCGCCUCCCCCGAGAACCCCACCGUUCGCAGCCGCUGGGUCCCGAGCUCCCUCCACCUCUGGUUUAUCUUCACUGAGCUGAUUUGUGGAUCUACAAUAGGCCAAUUCGUGAACUCAACAAGCUGUUUUCCUCCUUUGUUACUGGUGGUGACUCGUUCCGCCGGUCGCUGCAUCUGUGCUCGGGAAUCCUCCGUCCGUUGAGACGAUUAGUUGAGCAUCAUCAGUCUUCUUCGUUGGGGCAAGAGUUGCCAGCUAAGGGAAAGUUGGACGAACAAUCUCAGGCCCGAUAAAAAACGUGGCCCUUUUACUCCCGCGAAGGAGAAUUAGUCAUUUAGCUUCAUGGAAUACUCGGUAGCAGGCACCUAUCUUACGCUCUCCGAGACUCCUGCCUGGUGCUUAGGCUGAAUAACCAAACUCAUUGGAUUAGGUUGGCCUAGUGGAGUAGAGACGAUAAAACCUCUGCUUGCUUUUGGAUCGCGAAUAGCUAAUAGAAUGGAAAGUACCCUUCUGGAGAUAUGUCAGUUACUGUUGUUUUAUGGCUCUUGACCUUUGAAGUCUUGGAAGGUCGAUAGUGGUUUGGCUCUCGAACAUUUUGUUCUGCCUAAGCAAGUUGAUGAUCGGUACUUAUCAUCUAACGAGAUGCAAAUUUGGUGAAGAAAUGGCCCAGAAUAAUGACACUGUCCAAGAUGAGCAAAUAAUGUAGCUUCUGCUGUGAAUUCUUAAGCUUGUGAAGGAUGACACUGUCCAAGAUGAGCAAAUAAUGUAGCUUCUGCUAUGAAUUCUUAAGCUUGUGAAGGAUGUGUUUGAAUUCCAGAUUAAGAAGCGCUCGCCUCUGCCUCAGCCACAUGAGCUCCACCGGCGGCAUUGAACCUGAUUAUUGCCAAGACUAUUGCUUAAUUCGAUGUUUUAAAGUCAGCAGUCAGUUAAUUCGCAUGCACAACGUUAUCCAAUAGCUAAAUCACAGGUAAUUCCAAACUCAUACUGUAUGAACGAUAUUUGCUUUCUCAAGAAAUGGAUGUGAUGUUAGUUUUCUUGUAAACGCACUAUGUGAAAUAUUUUUUGUUCCUUACUUGCUGUGUAAAAAUGUCCAUUUAGCACAUGUAACCCUGAUUUGGAAAAAAUCCUGAGUUUACAUUAGAUAUGGUUUUUGCAAGUGAAGUUGAAUAUAUCAUAAAUAUGUUGCCACGUAAUAGGCAAAUGAUUUGAACUAAAGAAAGCUAAGAUUAUUAUAAAAAAAUGAUCAAGGAGAAAUAAUUCAAUGGAUUUUUGUAUGUAAUUGUGAGGGGUAUUUUGUCAACUCAUUUGAUCAAGAGAACUUUAAGUUAAAUGUAAAUGUCCUACUUUGAUUAGAUUUAAGGUUGAAAAUGGCACUUAUGAAGUCAUAGAGUAUGGUCUCGAGCAUGAUCAUGAAUUUUUAUCAGAACGUCAAAAGCACUUGAUAAAAUGUGGAAGAAUGAUUUUUGAUGCUUGCAAGCAUGUUUUAGACGAUAUGGCUAAAGCUAGCAUUGGGGUCAGGGCAUAUAAGUUCUUGGCAAAUGAAAGAGAAGGAAGCCAAAACUUGGCUUUCAUCUUGCGCAAUUGUUAAAAAAUUUUGUAGACUAAAAGAUCAAAUCAUGUAAGUAGGGAAGAUUGUCAACAUUCUCUAAAUCAUUUUCAUUGCAUGCAAAUGCAAUAUUUAAUGUCUUUGUAUGUUGUACGAAUAGAUGAAGACGAGAUUGCAAAUUCAUUUACUUGGUUAUUUGAUAUUCUUUUAAAGUCUAGGAAAUAAGGCUUUAAAAACCAUUUUCACCAAUCAGGAUCAAUUCGAAUUGUGUUUCCAAAUACUCAACAUCAUUUAUACACUUGGCACACUAAGGAAAGUGCCAAUUAAAACAUUACAUAUUUUUACCACAAACUAAGAUUCAAGAAUAAAUAUUUAUAAAAAAAUUUAUGUAUAAAAUGCAAAUAAAAUGAUGAAUUUGAAUAUACUUGAAGUAAAAAUGAAAGAGGAGUGAGGGACUGAAAAUAGCAA